rnacentral:rRNA from 1 species
UACGUAGGGGGCAAGCGUUGUCCGGAUUUACUGGGCGUAAAGAGCGCGUAGGUGGAAGCGCCAGUCCGGCCUGAAAGCCCCCGGCUCAACCGGGGAGAGUGGCUGGAAACUGCGUUUCUUGAGGGCGAGAGAGGAGGGUGGAAUUCCUGGUGUAGCGGUGAAAUGCGCAGAUAUCAGGAAGAACACCCGUGGCGAAGGCGGCUCUCUGGGACGGUACUGACGCUGAGACGCGAAAGCGUGGGGAGCGAACAGG